UGGGGGAUAACGCAUCGAAAGAUGUGCUAAUACCGCAUAAUCUCUGAGGAGGAAAGUAGGGGAUCGAAAGACCUUAUGCUUUUGNGAGCGNCCGAUGUCUGAUUAGCUAGUUGGUGGGGUAAUGGCUUACCAAGGCGACGAUCAGUAGUUGGUCUGAGAGGACGANCAGCCACACUGGGACUGAGACACGGCCCAGACUCCUACGGGAGGCAGCAGUGGGGAAUUUUGGACAAUGGGCGCAAGCCUGAUCCAGCAAUGCCGCGUGAGUGAAGAAGGCCUUCGGGUUGUAAAGCUCUUUCAGUCGAAAAGAAAAGGUUAUGACUNAAUAAUCAUAAUCCAUGACGGUAUCGACAGAAGAAGCACCGGCUAACUACGUGCCAGCAGCCGCGGUAAUACGUAGGGUGCGAGCGUUAAUCGGAAUUACUGGGCGUAAAGGGUGCGCAGGCGGUUCUGUAAGUCAGAUGUGAAAUCCCCGGGCUUAACNUGGGAACUGCGUUUGAAACUACAAAGCUAG
rnacentral:rRNA from 1 species